CAGUCGAACGGAGUAUUAACUUUGAAUUCUAACGGAUGAAGAGUUGAUACUUAGUGGCGGACGGGUGAGUAACGCGUGGAUAACCUGCCCCAUACCGGGGGAUAACAGCCGGAAACGGCUGCUAAUACCGCAUAAGCGCACGGGAAUGCAUGUUUCAGUGUGAAAAACUCCGGUGGUAUGGGAUGGAUCCGCGUCUGAUUAGCUGGUUGGCGGGGUAGAGGCCCACCAAGGCGACGAUCAGUAGCCGACCUGAGGGGGUGGCCGGCCACAUUGGGACUGAGACACGGCCCAGACUCCUACGGGAGGCAGCAGUGGGGAAUAUUGCACAAUGGGGGAAACCCUGAUGCAGCGACGCCGCGUGAGUGAAGAAGUAUUUCGGUAUGUAAAGCUCUAUCAGCAGGGAAGAGAAUGACGGUACCUGAGUAAGAAGCCCCGGCUAACUACGUGCCAGCAGCCGCGGUAAUACGUAGGGGGCAAGCGUUAUCCGGAUUUACUGGGUGUAAAGGGAGCGUAGACGGCGAAGAAAGUCUGAAGUGAAAGCCCGCGGCUCAACCGCGGAACUGCUUUGGAAACUUUUUUGCUGGAGUACCGGAGAGGUAAGCGGAAUUCCUAGUGUAGCGGUGAAAUGCGUAGAUAUUAGGAGGAACACCAGUGGCGAAGGCGGCUUACUGGACGGU
rnacentral:rRNA from 1 species